GCGGCGGUAGCACAGCGGUAGUGCGUCUGCUUGCCAUGCAGAAGGUCCCGAGUUCGAUCCUCGGUCGCCGCUCCA
rnacentral:tRNA from 1 species